AGAGUUUGAUCCUGGCUCAGGAUGAACGCUGACAGAAUGCUUAACACAUGCAAGUCUACUUGAACUUCGGUUUGGGUGGCGGACGGGUGAGUAACGCGUAAAGAACUUGCCUCACAGUUAGGGACAACAUUUGGAAACGAAUGCUAAUACCUGAUAUUAUGAUUUUAGGGCAUCCUAAGAUUAUGAAAGCUAUAUGCGCUGUGAGAGAGCUUUGCGUCCCAUUAGCUAGUUGGAGAGGUAACGGCUCACCAAGGCGAUGAUGGGUAGCCGGCCUGAGAGGGUGAACGGCCACAAGGGGACUGAGACACGGCCCUUACUCCUACGGGAGGCAGCAGUGGGGAAUAUUGGACAAUGGACCAAAAGUCUGAUCCAGCAAUUCUGUGUGCACGAUGACGUUUUUCGGAAUGUAAAGUGCUUUCAGUUGGGAAGAAAAAAAUGACGGUACCAACAGAAGAAGUGACGGCUAAAUACGUGCCAGCAGCCGCGGUAAUACGUAUGUCACAAGCGUUAUCCGGAUUUAUUGGGCGUAAAGCGCGUCUAGGUGGUUAUGUAAGUCUGAUGUGAAAAUGCAGGGCUCAACUCUGUAUUGCGUUGGAAACUGCAUGACUAGAGUACUGGAGAGGUAAGCGGAACUACAAGUGUAGAGGUGAAAUUCGUAGAUAUUUGUAGGAAUGCCGAUGGGGAAGCCAGCUUACUGGACAGAUACUGACGCUAAAGCGCGAAAGCGUGGGUAGCAAACAGGAUUAGAUACCCUGGUAGUCCACGCCGUAAACGAUGAUUACUAGGUGUUGGGGGUCGAACCUCAGCGCCCAAGCUAACGCGAUAAGUAAUCCGCCUGGGGAGUACGUACGCAAGUAUGAAACUCAAAGGAAUUGACGGGGACCCGCACAAGCGGUGGAGCAUGUGGUUUAAUU
rnacentral:rRNA from 1 species